rnacentral:lncRNA from 1 species
GGCCCUAGACCCGCGGAGAGGGAGUGACCAAAGACAAAAUCUGUGUGGCCCCCAAAAAGUCAAGGUCUAAUAAGCCCUUCGUCAGCUGCAGGUACUCCCUCAGGCUCGGGCUCCCAACUCUAGCUGGAGACCCGGACAGAGCGCCGGUCCCCUGGCUGCCUGCGACGCGGGGCACCAAGUCUAGCGCAGUGGGCGGUGAGGUGCGGCGAAGGUGAAGCCGGCAGCUCCGAGCGGUCCACGUUGCAUCCCCCGGGCGACAGCCCUGAGCGACUCCAGGACCGCCAGCCGGCGGGGCAAAAAAUUACAAAAGUAACCUGAGCAGCCCCGGCGUAAAGUUACAAAGAAAGUGAACCUCAAAAGGAAAAAAGGCCUGCACUCAGAGCUCGGCGGAUUCCCGUGCGCUCUGGGCACGGAUCUUGGAAAGCUGCGAAAGUCACCAAAAAGAAGCAGGCAAGGAAACAAAAGUUGCCCCAAAAGAAGAGGGUAUCCUCUGGGCUCUUUCCGAGUUCCACAGGGCAACGACGCGCGGGCAGCGGCUGCGGAGGCCGGGCGGAGUCUCUUUUCCCCACUACUACCAUGCGGGUGUAGAAAAUUAUAAUGCCCUAAGAAAUGGCAGAGUUUCAAGAGGGAAAGAUGCUGCAUCUCUAACUCAUGGUGUGGAUGAAUGCCAUCAUGCAGAAACACCCCUAUUGCACUGUCAUGUGAGUAAGAAAUCCACUUCUAUUAGAUUAAAUGCCUGAAACUUUUGGAUGUAUGUAUUGUGCUGUUGUUAUUAGGCCUUGGAUUGAGGAACACUAACGUCUUGCAUGUGGCCCUUUUUACUACGAUGGCUUUGACAUCAUGGAUCAGUGAGCCAGUGGAGGGAUUCUACCAGUGGCCAAAGAUAUCCAGCUAAGAAUAUGCCAGUAUGUUGUGAAGAUAACAAUUGGAUGGGUUUGUUGUCCCACUGGCCUUGGGUAAGUUCUCUGUUUGCCCAC